UACGUAGGGUGCAAGCGUUAAUCGGAAUUACUGGGCGUAGAGCGUGCGCAGGCGGUUUUGUAAGUCUGUCGUGAAAUCCCCGGGCUUAACCUGGGAAUUGCGAUGGAGACUGCAAGGCUGGAAUCUGGCAGAGGGGGGUAGAAUUCCACGUGUAGCAGUGAAAUGCGUAGAGAUGUGGAGGAACACCGAUGGCGAAGGCAGCCCCCUGGGUCAAGAUUGACGCUCAUGCACGAAAGCGUGGGGAGCAAACAGG
rnacentral:rRNA from 1 species